GUGUGAAAUAGCAAAGGUGUAUGACUUAUGAGUUGCCGAGAGAAAUGAUUCUAUACCCAAACCCUGCCCCCAACUCUAAAAACUUCCUGCUUGAUGUUCAUCAAUAAUGAAUGGCCCAUCCCUGCAAUACUCAGAGGGAGCUUACAUUGCACUUUUGAGCAGCCGGUUAGUAAUGUACAGUGGAUAGAGCCAUUCUUUCAAAUCCCAGGGCAGUGGGUCCUUCAAGGCUAGCAUUGCAUUUUCAAUUAGCUGCUGAGUGAAUGCUUGGCAUGGUAUUAGUGAAGAGGCACACAAUUAGCGUGUUGUUCCUUUCUGUAUUGUGCUGAGAGGAUCCAAGGGAUUGGUGGGGGAACAGGCAAGCCAGGCAUCACCGUGGAUAUUGAAGAAGGGGGUUACUCAAACCUCGGCAUCUUCACUUGCUCGCUCUGGAAUUACAGCUAUUUAUUACGAAGCACUCUGUGUGGCUUAGUGGAGUGUGUCUGAGGAAACACAUCCGGACACCACUUAGGGUUAGUCUUUCUGAGCUCUUCACAUCUCUGACUAAUUAUCUUCAUUAUCAUGGAGCCCAACAGUCCCAAAAAGAUACAAUUUGCUGUGCCUUUAUUCCAGAGUCAGAUUGCACCUGAAGCAGCAGAGCAGAUCAGGAAAAGAAGACCUACACCAGCAUCACUUGUGAUUCUCAAUGAGCAUAACCCCCCAGAAAUAGAUGACAAGAGGGUGCCCAACACACAAGGGGAAUCUCAGAAUGCAUCCCCUAAGCAAAGGAAGCAGAGUGUGUACACACCACCCAUCAUAAAAGGGGUUAAGCAUCUGAAAGGCCAGAAUGAAUCAGCAUUCCCUGAAGAAGAAGAAGGCACCAGUGAAAGAGAGGAGCAGCAGGACCACUAAUUACUGGUGCAAAAUGAAUUGAUAACAACCAGAAGUUGACUUGUUAGUGCUGUGCUUCUACUUGAGCUUGGAAAAAUCCCAACACAAAACAAACAUCACCUCCAAUUCCAUCAUGAUGCCACAUUGCUUCCUACUGGAUUACCUCCUGAAGCACUUUAGAUAUUUUAUACAUAAGUAUUGACAUGUUUUUCGGAAGCUGUUUCUUCACUUAAUCGCUUUUUUUUCUAAUAAUUUAUAUUACACCAUUUGCCAAGUUCUUCCCUGUGGUUUUAGUUUAUUUCUCUCUACUACUAAAAAAGGAAUCUUGAGUUUAGGUAAAUUUUAAGUGAUUCAUUUUUAGUUUUUCUAAUUCUGGAAUCCGAGCCUUCUCUUACAAGAGGAAGUCUUUCAAACACAUUUUUUGUUGUUUCUUUUUCAAAUUCCACUGUGUUUACUUGUUGCUUUGUUUCUUUUUCAAAUUCCAUUGGUCUUGAUUUAAUUUAGUUCCACAAAUUUUAUUGAUAGUCUACUACCUGCCAACUACUGAAUUAAACAGCAGACUUCUAAAAA